GCCCCUGUAGUAUAGACCAAUACAUCAGUCUUGUAAACUGGCAACGGACAUUCAUUCCCUGGGGCA
rnacentral:tRNA from 1 species